CCAUUGAUCCCAUUGACCUCGUCCAUGGACACAUAAGCCUUAUCGAGCAAGUGGGAGGUGCUAACAAGCUGCCUCAAAUGUCCUUAGAGAGUGGUUACUCUAUUCCUCGCAACAACCAACGACAAAACGCCCUGCCUCGAACACGCUGCGACUGCGUCUAUUUAUCAUCUCACCGAUGAUGCACAGAAAACAAGCCGUAACGCCAUGAGACAAGGCCGUGCCCUCAGUUCUCUCGCCCACCAUAAGACACUUACACAGCUGCACUUGCCUCCUGACCCCAAACCCAAAUGUGACACUUUCCACAUUCCUAUAUUCAGCUCACACACACACACACACACACACACACACACACACACACACACACACACACACACACACACACACACACACACACACACACACACUCCUUCUCUGGGCUUCACGUAUGAGGAGGUGUCAUGCUGAGGUAUUGAAAGACGAGUGGUUUUCAUGACGUUUCUUAAGAAGUAGGUAUGCGAAUAACCAGAUUUCUUCCAAACACAAUGUCCUUCGAGUGUUUUGUUUUUCAGCACUAAGUAUUCAUUGAAGAAUUGAAUCUCAUUUACCCAACGGUUCUGAGGUUGCGUGUUUUCAAAUGAAGGUGCUCCAGUCUAUUAUAAGAACGCGACUGUAGCUGCCAAAAUGACAGUCAGCACGAUGAAGAGGGUAGUCCCCUGGGGGUGGUUAGAUAUGACACUCUUGACUAUUCCAAUUUGUUCAAGUGGAUGUAAUAUUCAAUACAGGGAAACGUACUGCAGGGUAUACAGUAUGUUAAAAACAAUACGGUGGCAUUUAGGUUACCACUAUCAGUUGCAUACUAAAUUCACUUGUUGAGAAGCCAUUCGCCAAUCUUGAUCAUGGUUUUACUUUUACUAGACAUUAUCAAAUUACGUGAGUCAACUCAUAGCUGUCUCGGAAAAAAAACCUCUACUUAUCUCAUAGCUUUCUCUACUAAUAUCAUAGCUGUCUCUACUCAUCUCAUAGCUGUCUCUACUCAUCUCAUAGCUGUCUCUACUCAUCUCAUAGCUGUCUCUACUCAUCUCAUAGCUGUCUCUACUCAUCUCAUAGCAGUCUCUACUCAUCUCAUAGCUGUCUCUACUUAUCUCAUAGCUGUCUCUACUUAUCUCAUAGCUGUCUCUACUCAUCUCAUAGCAGUCUCUACUUAUCUCAUUGCUGUCUCUGCUUAUCUCAUAGCUGUCUCUACUUAUCUCAUAGCUGUAUCUACUUAUCUCAUAGCUGUCUAUAACCCUAUCUACUUAUCUCAUAGCUGUCUAUAAAACCAUCUACUUAUCUCAUAGCUGUCUCUACUUAUCUCAUAGCUGUCUAUAACCCUAUCUACUUAUCUCACAGCUGUCUCUCCUUAUCUCAUAGCUGUCUAUAACCCUAUCUACUUAUAUCAUAGCUGUCUAUAAACCUAUCUACUUAUCUCAUAGCUGUCUCUACUUAUCUCAUAGCUGUCUAUAACCCUAUCUACUUAUCUCAUAGCUGUCUAUAAACCUAUCUACUUAUCUCAUAGCUGUAUCUACUUAUCUCAUAGCUGUCUAUAAAACCAUCUACCUCAGUGUCUGUUCCUAGUUCAUAUUCCAGUACAUUCAGUCAAAUUCAAAAUGGGGUCCUUUCAAUAAUUUGAAGCUUAUGUAAGGAUGGGUCUCUUUAUGUGGUGAUCCAGGAUAAAAGCCUUACCUCAAUGUCUGCUGCAAAGAGAGGACUGUGAAGAAUGAGAGAGGGGGAGAGACACAGAGAGAGAGACAGAAAGAGAGGGGGAGAGAGUGGGAGAGAGAGCGAGGGUGACAGAGAGACAGAGAGAGAGAGAGAGAGGGAUACAGAGAGAGACAGAGAGACAGAAACAGAGAGAAAGAGGGGGAGAGAGAGGGAAACUAAGAGAGAGACAGGGAGAGAGACAGAGAGCGAGGGAGACAGAGAGACAGGGAGAGAGAGAGGGAUACAGAGAGAGACACAGAGAGAGAGAAUCUAAGAGAAAGACAGGGAGAGAGAGGGAAACUAAGAGAGAGACAGGGAGAGAGACAGAGAGCGAGGGAGGGAGACAGAGAGACAGGGAGAGAGAGAGAGAGAGGGAUACAGAGAGAGAGACACAGAGAGAGAGAAUCUAAGAGAAAGACAGGGAGAGAGGGGGAAACUAAGAGAGAGACGGGGAGAGAGACAGAGAGCGAGCGAGACAGAGAGACAGGGAGAGAGAGAGAGAGAGAGAGAGGGAUACAGAGAGAGAGAGAGAGAGAGAGAGAAUCUAAGAGAAAGACAGGGAGAGAGAGGGAAACUAAGAGAGAGACAGGGAGAGAGACAGAGAGCGAGGGAGACAGAGAGACAGGGAGAGAGAGAGAGAGAGAGGGAUACAGAGAGAGAGAGAAUCUAAGAGAAAGACAGGGAGAGAGAGGGAAACUAAGAGAGAGACAGGGAGAGAGACAGAGAGCGAGGGAGACAGAGAGACAGGGAGAGAGAGAGAGAGGGAUACAGAGAGAGAGACACAGAGAGAGAGAAUCUAAGAGAAAGACAGGGGGAGAGAGGGAAACUAAGAGAGAGACAGGGAGAGAGACAGAGGUAGUGGGAGAGAGAGCGACAGGGAUACAGAGAGAGAGACACAGAGAGAGAGAAUCUAAGAGAAAGACAGGGGGAGAGAGGGAAACUGAGAGACAGGGAGAGAGACAGAGGUAGUGGGAGAGAGAGCGACAGGGAUACAGAGAGAGAGACACAGAGAGAGAGAAUCUAAGAGAAAGACAGGGGGAGAGAGGGAAACUAAGAGAGAGACAGGGAGAGAGACAGAGGUAGUGGGAGAGAGAGCGAGAGAAGGAAUAGAGAAAUCCUGAAAUAAUCCUUUAGUGCUGUUGCGACGAUGGUGCUCAACUUUCCUCCCAUUUGUAGGCAAGGUUAGAAGCUCAGGCAAAAGAAAGCAAGACUGUACUCAUUGAGACAACCAGAUGGUCGUUCACUUACAGAUAUUGAGAUAUCAUUUGCCAUGAAUGACAGUCAGACACAGCAGUCUAGUGUACCAUGCCUGCAGACUGUAGGUACAUGAAAUAUAGGUAUCACUCCUAGAGUUGCCUAGCAACUCAUGCCAAAAGGCUCUGCACUCUUUUAAAGCCUCACAACUGUCAAAAAAUCCCAUAUAUUGCCUGAGUCAUGUCAAACGGAUUGAAGCAAAAUACACAAACACCUUUGAGAAUCGUUCAGACUGAUAGCAAUGAAAGUUUGCUCGUCAAACUGCAAUGACAUCCCCGCUGGCAAUGCCAGCAGCAUGGUACACGGAUGGUGUAAAACACAGUUUACCAUCAUUAGUCUUCUCCGGUGUGAAACGUGCAGCUGAAUAGUCUGUCAAAAUGCCUAGACGAUUGGAGGUCGAUACGUGAUGUCAGAGUAAGUGGCCAUAGAACGGUCACAAAACGAUCGGUCAGAUGUUAUGUUCACAAGAAAAAGGUGGCCAGACGAGAGAAAACCAUUUUCUGUCACUCCCCUAAAACAAGCGUUCGAAUAGACAUCCCAGAACAAGCAUCCUUUGGUAUUAGAUAAGUAGGAGUUAAGUAGGAGGAAAAUAGGAUAUAGGUUCUUUAAUAAGUAGGAGAUAAACGCUUACAAUCCUACUCUUUUGUAUCAAAGCCUACUAUUUAAUAUCCAAAAUAUAUAUUUUUUUACACCAGUUACAAACAUACACAUAUGAAUGACAAACAAUGACUACAUCUCAUCACACCCCAUCCCUAGAACAAUGACUACAUCUCAUCUGCCCAGACCCACAUGCUCACACACCCCAUCCCUAGAACAAUGACUCCAUCUCAUCUGCCCAGACCCACAUGCUCACCACACCCCCCAUCCCUAGAACAAUGACUACAUCUCAUCUGCCCAGACCCACAUGCUCACACACCCCAUCCCCAGAACAAUGACUCCAUCUCAUCUGCCCAGACCCACAUGCUCACCACACCCCCCAUCCCUAGAACAAUGACUACAUCUCAUCUGCCCAGACAUACAUGCUCACACACCCAUCCCUAGAACAAUGACUCCAUCUCAUCUGCCCAGACCCACAUGCUCACCACACCCCCCAUCCCUAGAACAAUGACUACAUCUCAUCUGCCCAGACCCACAUGCUCACACCCCCCAUCCCUAGAACAAUGACUCCAUCUCAUCUGCCCAGACCCACAUGCUCACCACACCCCCCAUCCCUAGAACAAUGACUCCAUCUCAUCUGCCCAGACCCACAUGCUCACACCCCCCAUCCCUCAAAAAGUUUUCAAACAGCUAAUUGGUUCCUAGAAGUACAAUUUUGAAAAGAAUUGUCCGCGUUGCCCGCUCGAAGGCUAGCACGUACAAUCUGUCAGCAAUGUUCCACUAGCUAUGAACCCCA
ensembl:lncRNA